rnacentral:sRNA from 1 species
GCUGGGUGUGGUGGCGCACGCCUGUAAUCCCAGCAGUUUGGGAGGCUGAGGCUGGAGGAUCAUGGGUUCAAAGCCAGCCUCAGCAACUCAGCGAGACCCUGUCUCUA